rnacentral:rRNA from 1 species
GAAAGCCGGAUUAAUACCGCAUACGCUCUACGGAGGAAAGGGGGGGAUCUUAGGACCUCCCGCUACAGGGGNGGCCGAUGGCNGAUUANCUANUUGGUGGGGUAAAGGCCUACCAAGGCGACGAUCUGUAGCUGGNCUGANAGGACGACCAGCCACACUGGGACUGANACACGGCCCANACUCCUACGGGAGGCAGCANUGGGGAAUUUUGGACAAUGGGGGAAACCCUGAUCCAGCANUGCCGCGUGUGNGAANAAGGCCUUCGGGUUGUAAAGCACUUUUGUCCGGAAAGAAAACCUCUGGGUUAAUACCCCGGGGGGAUGACGGUACCGGAAGAAUAANCACCGGNUAACUACNUGCCAGCAGCCGCGGUAAUACNUAGGGUGNANNCGUUANUCNGAAUUACUGGGCGUAAAGCGUGCGCAGGCGGUCCGCUAANACANAUGUGAAAUCCCCGGGCUUAACCUGGGAACUGCAUUUGUGACUGG